UAUAUACAGUCACUUCCGGUUGGAAAGUGCGGGAACUACAACAACAACAAAGAACAGGCGGGAACAAUUUUAUCACUGAAAACAUGGUCCGAACAAAAGCAGACAGCAGUGGCGCGUCGAGAAAGGGUAAAAUAAGUUGUUUUUGUCCCGAAGUUUGACUGUACUAUACUUAAACUUUUACAACUAUAAUAAUUUAUAGAAAAGAAGAUGUGGUAUGAUUGAUCGAUUGCCAAAGAGACAACAAUCCACAAGAAACCAAUUUAGGCAAUUGACACAGAAAUAUUAAUAACUAUAGGUCGCACGACACUGUACGACUUUCGACAAUGAGGAAAGCCCAUACCGCAUAGUCCACUAAUUUAAAGCCCCGAA
rnacentral:lncRNA from 1 species